rnacentral:rRNA from 1 species
GAGGAAUAUUGGUCAAUGGACGGAAGUCUGAACCAGCCAAGUAGCGUGCAGGAUGACGGCCCUAUGGGCUGUAAACUGCUUUUGUAUGGGGAUAAAGUUAGGGACGUGUCCCUAUUUGCAGGUACCAUACGAAUAAGGACCGGCUAAUUCCGUGCCAGCAGCCGCGGUAAUACGGAAGGUCCAGGCGUUAUCCGGAUUUAUUGGGUUUAAAGGGAGCGUAGGCUGGAGAUUAAGUGUGUUGUGAAAUGUAGACGCUCAACGUCUGAAUUGCAGCGCAUACUGGUUUCCUUGAGUACGCACAACGUUGGCGGAAUUCGUCGUGUAGCGGUGAAAUGCUUAGAUAUGACGAAGAACUCCGAUUGCGAAGGCAGCUGACGGGAGCGCAACUGACGCUUAAGCUCGAAGGUGCGGGUAUCAAACAGGAUUAGAUACCCUGGUAGUCCGCACAGUAAACGAUGGAUGCCCGCUGUUGGUACCUGGUAUCAGCGGCUAAGCGAAAGCAUUAAGCAUCCCACCUGGGGAGUACGCCGGCAACGGUG